rnacentral:rRNA from 1 species
CCUACGGGUGGCAGCAGUGAGGAAUAUUGGUCAAUGGGCUUACGCCUGAACCAGCCAAGUCGCGUGAGGGAAGACUGCCCUAUGGGUUGUAAACCUCUUUUGUCAGGGAGCAACGCCGUCUACGUGUCGCCGGGCUGAGAGUACCUGAAGAAAAAGCAUCGGCUAACUCCGUGCCAGCAGCCGCGGUAUUACGGAGGAUGCGAGCGUUAUCCGGCUUUAUUGGGUUUAAAGGGUGCGUAGGCGGAAUGCCAAGUCAGCGGUAAAAUCGCGGGGCUGAACCUCGCUCCGCCGUUGAUACUGGCGUUCUUGAGUGGGGGAGAGGGAUGCGGAAUGCGGGGUGUAGCGGUGAAAUGCAUAGAUAUCAGGAGGAACACCGGUGGCGAAGGCGGCCUGCUGGACUGCAACUGACGUUGAGGCCCGAAAGCGUGGGGAGCAAACAGGAUUAGAUACCCUUGUAGUC